AGCCAUGCGAGUCGUUGUAGCAAUACAAGGCGGACGGCUCAGUAACACGUAGUCAACCUAACCUAUGGACGUGGAUAACCUCGGGAAACUGAGAAUAAACCGCGAUAGAUCAUGAUGCCUGGAAUGGCUUAUGGUCCAAACAAUUUAUUGCCAUAGGAUGGGACUGCGGCCUAUCAGCUUGUUGGUGAGGUAAUGGCCCACCAAGGCUAUAACAGGUACGGGCUCUGAGAGGAGAAGCCCGGAGAUGGGUACUGAGACACGGACCCAGGCCCUAUGGGGCGCAGCAGGCGAGAAACCUUAGCAAUGUGCGAAAGCACGACUAGGUUAAUCCGAGUGGUUCCUGCUAAAGGAACCUUUUGUCAGUCGUAAAACCACAGACGAAUAAGGGGUGGGCAAGUCUGGUGGCAGCCGCCGCGGUAAUACCAGCACCUCGAGUGGUCAGGAGGUUUAUAGGGCCUAAAGCAUCCGUAGCCGGCUAUGCAAGUCUCCGGUUAAAUCCAACUGCUCAACAGAUGGGCUGCCGGAGAUACUACAUAGCUAGGGAGCGGGAGAGGAAGACGGUAUUCGGUGGGUAGGGGUAAAAUCCACUGAUCCAUCGAGGACCACCAGUGGCGAAGGCGGUCUUCCAGAACGCGUUCGACGGUGAGGGAUGAAAGCUGGGGGGAGCAAACCGGAUUAGAUACCCGGGUAGUCCCAGCUGUAAACGAUGCAAACUCGGUGAUGCGUUGGCUUAUGGGCCAACGCAGUGCCGCAGGGAAGCCGUUAAGUUUGCCGCCUGGGAAGUACGGACGCAAGACUAAAACUCAAAGGAAUUG
rnacentral:rRNA from 1 species